CCCCCUGGAGAGGAAGGCCUCAGAUCUGGGCUUCAGAUGUCAAAGCAAGAAUGGGGCUCCAAAUGGACCAUGUGGCCCCGGGUGGCCCAACGAGCCAUAUGCAGCCAGAAGCAGCCUGCCUAGCAGGCACCAAGCCCCCACUGUGCCCACUCUGGGCAUGCACCAUCCUCAGAUUCAAUUAACAACAAAAAGCAUGAUGAGAAAAUGAGGGGAAAUGUUAUCAGCAGCAAAAAAAGAAAACAACAACAACGAGUCAGUGAGGUUGAGAAGCAAAAGAGACACUCAGAGAAUGGAGGGCAAAGACAAAAUGUUGGGCCAACCCUUCCUCCUGUGCAGACUCAGGGAUUUUAGGGUGAAUCGCGUUUUCCCAGGACAAUCUCCCAGACCCUCCUAGAAAAAAGGGAACACACAGUUUGAGCGACUGAGAAAACAUUUUAAAGUUACAUGUAAGGAGCAAAGACUACACCUGAUAAGCCAGGCUGCUGCCAGUUCCAGACACACCCUCAGUGGCUUCCCCGCCAAAAGACACCCCUCGCAGCUUCUGAAAAGCAGCCUGCACCGAAACAGUCAUCUUUCACAAGGGGCCAGGCAGGUGCGGUGCCUGUGAGGCUCUGGGAUUCCACUUCAAUGAAAGGUCUGUGGCGCACAGUGUGGGAAAGAAAUCCUGACCGCCGAGAAGCUCACCUGCCCACUAAGUGAAAUUCAAGGCUGUCACUGUCAGAUACCAAUGCAUCGGAAAAAGUGCGCAUCGCUCAAAUAAUCCCGUGCCACCAGACACACGGCCACCACGAGAAAGUACCCACAAGGCUCGAAGUUUCCUGGGACUU